UACGGAGGAGGCAAGCGUUAUCCGGAAUGAUUGGGCGUAAAGAGUUCGUAGGUGGUAAUGAAAGUUUGCCGUUAAAGACUAAGGCUUAACCUUAGGAGAGCGGUGAAAACUACAUAACUAGAGUAUGGAAGGGGCAGAGGGAAUUCUUGGUGUAGCGGUGAAAUGCGUAGAGAUCAAGAGGAACAUCGGUGGCGAAAGCGCUCUGCUAGGCCAAAACUGACACUGAGGAACGAAAGCUAGGGGAGCGAAAGGG
rnacentral:rRNA from 1 species